AGGGUAAGGAGCCUCAUGUCUAGGCAGAGCUUACAGUGUGUUUACACCUUUCUGUACUUAAUCCAAUUGUCAUCUUAGUUGUCUGUAAAUGCCUGAAACCUUUAUGGAAUGAAAUUAGUUCUCUUUCCACAGACUAAAUACUUCUUAAAAAACCAAAUGAAAGAAAUGUAGCAACUUCUUGAAACCUCAGCUGGGAAUCAAAUUUUCUGCUCAAUGACACCUUGCUCUUUUUUGUUUUGUGGUUUGUUUUGUUUGUUUGUUUGCCCACACACAGGUGGGAAGUUGCAGUAUCAAACCACAGCCUGCUACUCCACCCUGAAAACAGCCUGACCUUUAGCAGAGGGUGAGCUCAGAGAGAUGAGAGUUUGCAGCCUCCAGCACUGACAUGUGUUAAUGCAUGUCCUGCUCAUCUUUCAAAGCAACCUAAACAGUUGUGGCUGGUGGGCUGAGCACAUGAGGGCUGCUGAGGGAAGGACUCUUCCUAGUGAGGCUGUAGGAGGGAACUAAGUUUGCAUCCAUAAAUCUCAGGAAGCAGCCUCUCCUGAAUACUCACCAGAUCCUAUAAGAGCACAGAUCAGCACCAUGGAAUUGUAUUUUAUUUCUGGAGCACUCCUGUCGUCUGAGAGCAGUCUGUGUAGAAUCUGAACAAGCUGAGCAUUUUCAAGAUCCUUUUCAGCAGUGACUGAAAUAAAGUGAAAAUUUUUAAGUCUGUAAGUGCCACUUGCUUUGAUGCUUCCGUGUGUAGCUGUUUACUGAAACAUGGAUCUCUCACUGGAGUGAAAGGGGUGCUGUGGUACAUAACUCACUGGUAUGAAACUGAAGCACAUAAUUGAUGGUAUGAUGACAGGAAUCACAGCUCUUGCUAUAGAAAUGUGAAGUUGCCUAACUGCUUGAAAGGACAGCCACAGAGUUUAAUGACAAAAUCCAGUCUUAAAUGUGCAGUGAGCUGAUGGAAAAGCCACCAGGCUUUCUAGCUAUUUAGGCCAACACUUGCAAUAUUUCAAUUUUCAAGACUUCCAUUGCCUGAAUUUGCUUUUGGAAAUUCUGUCUGAGUAAAUACAGAUUGUGCAGUUCUUGAUUCCAUCGUAGAGGGAGCUCAGAGUCCAUUAUAAAGGCUGUGAAAAACUUUCCAAGAUCACAGUGUGAGUUACUACCUCUGUAGCUUUCUAAGAAACAUUAGGUAUUGAACUGAGGCUUAGCCUUUAAAGGCCUGAAGACAAGAGAGUUAGGCAAUUCAUGUGACUAGGAACAUCUUUCCUUUUAUUUAAAACAAUUCCCUGAUGUACUGGCAGUGAUCUGGAAGUUGAACAGAGCAUUCCUGUAGUACGCACUUGAUGACAAGAGAUGAAAUCAAGAGCAAAAAUAAGUAAUGCUAUUUGUUUAGUUCCUUAUCUUAGUUAAUAAGCAAGGAUAAGCAGAACCUCAGUUGGCCAUUUACCUUUGUUUGGAAAUCUGAGGUACUACAAAUGCAAGUGAAGCCACAUAAUCAUCUCUGCCUUCAUAUGGCAACUCUUGCACCUAUUUCUGUGGAACUUAAUGAAGACAUUUUGGGGGCAUUAUCCAUCUCUGUGUGUUCUGUAGCCCUUACUAAUUAGGUAAGUGAAAGAUUUAUUUUCAUUCGGCCAGUUGGUUAGAGCAUGGUCCUAAUAACACCAAGGUUGUGGGUGCAAUCUUUGUAUGGGCCACUCACUGAAGAGCUGAACUCAAUCCUUGUGGGUCCCUUCCAACUCAGAACAUUCUGUGAUUCUGUGACCAUUCCAGUGUAGGAACACGGUCAGGUCAUAUGGUCUCCACUGUAAAGUACAUUCGCCUUCUUUUGGGUUUUACCCGAAAUCUGAAAGUUAAAUUGAAGGGCCCUUCUAAAUCAUGUCAUCAUCUACCAGAAGGAUGGAACAGAUACUGUAGAACCAGCAGUCUCCAGUUUUCUGCACAACAUGACAGCCUGCUGGUGUCUUCAUGAACCGUCACGUAUUGCUGUGCUACCCAAAGGCAGGUGGAAGGAGGAGGCUGUUCUACACUGCCAAAGAAACUCACACAACUAUGGCUUCUCUUGGGCACAGACUGGAAAGGCAACAGGUGAACUGCUGGGAUACUCACCUAACUCUAAUGCCGCUAUUAAUGCCAGUGCAACGAGAGCUUCGUUUUGCAUUAUUACGUGUUCGCUGGUCGCCAUGGUUACUAAAUGCUUGAUGCCACCACUCUGAACAAUGGUCCUAAUUACAUCCUAAAAUAAAUAACACAAAGAUAAAAAAAAAAUCUGUAUUGCAUACAAACUGCAUUAAAUAAGGAAACCAUCAUGGAGGCUAUGUUAUCUUCAGGUAAGGACCCACUCACUGGCUUUAUGCACAUGGAAUCACUUUAUACAUAAAUGUACACACACACACAGGCCUACAAGUUAUCUGUUACUACUUUGCAACUGUAAGGUACAAUGUGUUAAACCAAGCCAGGUGACCCCAUAGCUAAGACACACAUAACUAACUCUU